rnacentral:rRNA from 1 species
CCUACGGGGUGCAGCAGUGAGGAAUAUUGGUCAAUGGACGAGAGUCUGAACCAGCCAAGUAGCGUGAAGGAUGACUGCCCUAUGGGUUGUAAACUUCUUUUAUAUGGGACUAAAAUGUUCCACGUGUGGGAUUUUGUAUGUACCAUAUGAAUAAGGAUCGGCUAACUCCGUGCCAGCAGCCGCGGUAAUACGGAGGAUCCGAGCGUUAUCCGGAUUUAUUGGGUUUAAAGGGAGCGUAGGUGGAUUGUUAAGUUAGUUGUGAAAGUUUGCGGCUCAACCGUAAAAUUGCAGUUGAAACUGGCAGUCUUGAGUACAGUAGAGGUGGGCGGAAGUCGUGGUGUAGCGGUGAAAUGCUUAGAUAUCACGAAGAACUCCGAUUGCGAAGGCAGUUCACUGGACUGCAACUGACACUGAGGCUCGAAAGUGUGGGUAUCAAACAGGAUUAGAUACCCUAGUAGUC